UACAGAGGUCUCAAGCGUUGUUCGGAAUCACUGGGCGUAAAGGGUGCGUAGGCGGCGGAGUAAGUCGGGUGUGAAAUUUGAAGGCUCAACCUUCAACUAGCACCUGAUACUGCUUUGCUUGGGGUCUGAAGAGGAGCUUGGAAUUCUCGGUGUAGCAGUGAAAUGCGUAGAUUUCGAGAAGAACGCUCGCAGCGAAAGCGAAGCUCUGGUCAGAUUCUGACGCUGAGGCACGAAGGCUAGGGGAGCAAACGGG
rnacentral:rRNA from 1 species